ensembl:lncRNA
CAUGAUUCCGUGCUGGUAUGUGUAUGUGUGUGGUGUGCUUGUCGGGUUUGUGUGUGUGUGUGUGUGUGUGUGUGUGUGUGUGUGUGUGUGUGUGCAUGCUGGGUGAGCAGAGUGGUUUAUUGGCUUUUUAAAACCAGUGCUUCGUGGGCUGGGGGGUUGGUGCGUUGUGCGGGAGGGCUGACACAGGCAGCCCCCUCCAUCUGUGUGUUGGACAUUAGAGGGUCUAAACACCCAGGUUGAUCCAGGCACUUGAGGGUUUCAUUGGGCGGUGAUGAUGGAGUGGGGGGGAGGCGAGGAGAAGAAAAGGGAUCUCAGAAGACAAAAGCGGAGCCUUCCACCGGCAAAUGAGUCCCAGAACUUUGGAGUUGUUUGCGAGGAGAGUCUCCUUUCGAGAGGUGCUCUGGUGUUGUUGUUUUUGUUUUGCGCUGUGCCGAAUGGUAUUUACUGGGUUUAUUUACGCUCAGACAAGUAUUUGUUUUUCUGUUUUGUUCCCGGAGAUGUUUACCUGGGAACGGCUGUAAAAUGUUUCACAUUUUGUAUUUGUUGUAAUUUAUAGAUGUAUAUAUUGUGUAUAUAUUGGUCUAUUUUUGUAUGUGCCCCCUUUUUCCUGUGUCCUGAACAGUUUGUCAUUUCGUCUGCAAGUGAACGGCAGUAAAAAAGCCUAGUUCACUGCUUUAUAUGCCUUAUCAGCCAUGGAACAUCGGACAUUGAUCUUUAUUGUUUUCUUUUUUUGCCGGAUUUUUAUAAAUCCAAUUUUUUUCUAUGGUGCCUUUUUGAAAGGAAAAAACAGAACAUUCACGUUACUGGAGUCUGACGGACGGUGAAUACGCUUCAUCAUAAUGACUGGUCUGAAUGUGAUCGACUCUGUCUAUUUCAUUUCCUCCGACUUGUUUUCGUCAUCGGUAACGUUCGCACACGUCAGGUUUCUUUUGAUGAGCUCAUGAACUUCUGACCUUUUUACACCCCCUCCACCUCGUGGGUGCACUUUAUGUGAUCGGCUACAGGGAGUCCAACGUUGUAGUCAACCCAUGACACACUCUUAAAAAGGCCUUCAUUAAAGCACCUUGCACUCCUUCACUCUU